rnacentral:rRNA from 1 species
UGCAUGGCUGUCGUCAGCUCGUGUCGUGAGAUGUGGUUAGUCCGCAACGAGCGCAACCCUCGCCUUAGUUGCCAGCAUUCAGUUGGGCACUCUAGAGGGACUGCCGGUGUCAAACCGGAGGAAGGUGGGAUGACGUCAAGUCCUCAUGGCCUUUAUGUCUAGGGCUACACACGUACUACAAUGGCCGGUACAAAGGGCAGCCACUCAGCGAUGAGGCGCUAAUCCCAUAAAGCCGGUCUCAGUCCGGAUCGCAGUCUGCAACUCGACUGCGUGAAGUUGGAAUCGCUAGUAAUCGUAGAUCAGCAUGCUACGGUGAAUACGUUCCCGGGCCUU